GAGCAAAGUCAUAUGUGUCUCCCCAGCUGCCGAGGUGCGCACAGUGCCAACAAGGGUCGGAAAAAGAAGCAAGGGGGUACUUUGCUCCUGUUCUGGAAAAUGGAGCCAGUCUAUCCACCACAGUCGCCCUUCUUUUCUCAUGGCAGGUUAUCUGACUGAGAAGCAGGAAGUGGAAGUCAUGUUCUUGAUAAAACAAUGGCUGACUUGGAUGUUCCAGCAGAAGAGGAAGUGCUGUAGAAGCAACAGCAAAGGGGACCUAUUCGGCCAGCUGCUAUUGUUCCUUGACAUCUCCACUGUUUUGCUGUAAAUAUCACCAGCCUUCCCCAACAUCCCUGAGAUUUGAGAGUCUUUGAAAUUACAAGAUAGAAUGGCGGAGGAGUACAGCUCAUCUUGGCUUUCCAUCAAUUUACCUCAAGCAUCUAAAACAGCAAGGGACAUUUCUGAACAGCCUGGAGUAUUCAUCCUGGAUCUGAAAUGAAAAGAUACCAUGAGCACCUUGGCUUACUAUCAGAAUCCUUGAUGUCUGGAUCAACUGCAGUGUCUCAUCUGAGAUAACAUGUGUUCAGUAAUUUUUCCACCUGACAAGGGAAGGGAAGUGGAGAUGAAGGGACUCUUUAGACUACAUCACCUUAUGAGAAAAUGAUUCAACAAGUCUUUGGAAGACUGGACAGUCUUCAAGAAUGUCUCACCUGGAUUGAUCAUGCAGGAGGGGGAACAAGAUAAUUGCUAAAGAGAU